rnacentral:ncRNA from 2 species
UUAAAUAGUGAAGUGUUAGGUUUAUAACGUUAAUUAAAAGGGAAAGUGGUGAAAAUCCAUUACAGCCCCCGCUACUGUAUACGGCGACAAAUUCUAUAUCCACUGGAUCCUAUGGAUUUAUCUGGGAAGGAAGAAGGAGGAAGACCCGUGAGUCAGGAGACCUGCCUAGUGCUGUUUACUGCA